UACGGAGGGUGCAAGCGUUGUCCGGAUUUAUUGGGUUUAAAGGGUGCGUAGGUGGCCUUGUAAGUCCGUGGUGAAAGCCUCUCGCUUAACGAGAGAACUGCCAUGGAUACUGCAAGGCUUGAGUCCAGACGAGGUUGGCGGAAUGGAUGGUGUAGCGGUGAAAUGCAUAGAUACCAUCCAGAACCCCGAUUGCGUAGGCAGCUGACUAGGCUGGUACUGACACUGAGGCGCGACAGCGUGGGGAGCAAACAGG
rnacentral:rRNA from 1 species